UGGGGAAUAUUGCACAAUGGGCGAAAGCCUGAUGCAGCGACGCCACGUGAGGGAUGACGGCCUUCGGGUUGUAAACCUCUUUCAGUAGGGAAGAAGCGAAAGUGACGGUACCUGCAGAAGAAGCACCGGCUAACUACGUGCCAGCAGCCGCGGUAAUACGUAGGGUGCGAGCGUUAUCCGGAAUUAUUGGGCGUAAAGAGCUCGUAGGCGGUUUGUCGCGUCUGUCGUGAAAGUCCGGGGCUUAACCCCGGAUCUGCGGUGGGUACGGGCAGACUAGAGUGCAGUAGGGGAGACUGGAAUUCCUGGUGUAGCGGUGGAAUGCGCAGAUAUCAGGAGGAACACCGAUGGCGAAGGCAGGUCUCUGGGCUGUAACUGACGCUGAGGAGCGAAAGCAUGGGGAGCGAACA
rnacentral:rRNA from 1 species